AUACGGAGGGUGCAAGCGUUAAUCGGAAUUACGGGGCGUAAAGCGCGCGUAGGCGGUUUGAUCAGUCGGAUGUGAAAGCCCUGGGCUCAACCUGGGAACUGCAUUCGAUACUGUCAGACUAGAAUAUGGUAGAGGGUAGUGGAAUUCCUGGUGUAGCGGUGAAAUGCGUAGAUAUCAGGAGGAACAUCAGUGGCGAAGGCGGCUACCUGGACCAAUAUUGACGCUGAGGUGCGAAAGCGUGGGGAGCAAACAGGAUUAGAAACCCUAGUAGUCC
rnacentral:rRNA from 1 species